CCAAUAGCGUAUAUUAAAGUUGUUGCAGUUAAAAAGCUCGUAGUUGAAUUUUGGAUUCUACCAAUCGGUCCAUCUUUUGAUGAGUACUGGUUGUGUGGGGUCUAUCCGCCUGGUAAUACGUAAUGUCCUUUAUUGGAUGUUGCGGGUAGUCAGGACCUUUACCUUGAAAAAAUUAGAGUGUUUAAAGCAGGCUUAUGCCGGAAUACAUUAGCAUGGAAUAAUAGAAUAGGACGAAGUUGUUUUAUUUUGUUGGUUUCUAGGACAACCGUAAUGAUUAAUAGGGAUAGUUGGGGGCAUUAGUAUUCAAUUGUCAGAGGUGAAAUUCUUGGAUUUAUUGAAGACUAACUAUUGCGAAAGCAUUUGCCAAGGAUGUUUUCAUUAAUCAAGAACGAAAGUUAGGGGAUCGAAGACGAUCAGAUACCGUCGUAGUCUUAACCAUAAACUAUGCCUACUAGGGAUCGGGCGAUGUUGUUUCAAUGACUCGCUCGGCACCUUAUG
rnacentral:misc_RNA from 1 species